rnacentral:rRNA from 1 species
UACGUAGGGUGCGAGCGUUGUUCGGAAUCACUGGGCGUAAAGGGAGCGUAGGCGGGAUCGUAAGUUAGGAGUUUAAUGCAUGGGCUUAACCCAUGACCUGCUUUUAAUACUGCGAUUCUUGAGUAUGGGAGAGGGCGAUGGAAUUCCAGGUGUAGCGGUGGAAUGCGUAGAUAUCUGGAAGAACACCAGUAGCGAAGGCGGUCGCCUGGCCUGAUACUGACGCUGAGGCUCGAAAGCUAGGGGAGCAAACAGGAUUAGAUACC